UUCCAGAGACUCUGAGGGAGGAGAACCAAGCCCUGAGGGAAUGCAAUGCACAAGCAGCUUCGGAUGACAGCGGCUCACUUCAAGAGCAGGUGAAGUAGGGACAAUGUUAGAGACGAUUGCUCUAACUGGGCAAUAAGGUGCGUAACGCAUUACCUGAAAGGAGCAUCUGACCGUGAAGGCAGAAAAAGGCGCCGCACAGCUGAGAGGGACCCACAGCCGACCCCUUAAACCUAGGCUGACUACUGGCACCCCAGCAUCACUGACAACUGGAACACUUUCUUUAUCCUGCAGUCAGUAACAUCAAGAAGCCCGAAGUGCCAGACUACACUCACCAAAUCCACCCGGUUCACUGUGGAAAUAAUUUUUUUAUUUUUUAUUUUAACUUUAGUAUUGGCUUAUUUCAUUCCGUCAGUGUUUAACGAUUCUAUAAUAGUUUGUAAAUCCUAUUUCAUACCUGUUACUUGAUAUUGUACAUUAACUAGUACCAACAUUCUACUUUCAUUCCGUCAGUGUGCCUAACUGUUAUUCUAUUAAUAAUAGCUUGGAAAUACUAUUUCAUACCUCUGAUACUUGAUAUUGC
ensembl:lncRNA